GGUUAAGCGAAUAAGCGUACACGGUGGAUGCCUAGGCAGUCAGAGGCGAUGAAGGACGUGCUAAUCUGCGAUAAGCGCCGGUAAGGUGAUAUGAACCGUUAUAACCGGCGAUUUCCGAAUGGGGAAACCCAGUGCAAUUCGUUGCACUAUCAUUACCUGAAUACAUAGGGUAAUGAAGCGAACCGGGAGAACUGAAACAUCUAAGUACCCCGAGGAAAAGAAAUCAAACGAGAUUCCCCAGUAGCGGCGAGCGAACGGGGAGCAGCCCAGGACCUUAAUCAGCAUCAGUGUUAAGAGAACAGUCUGGAAAGGCUGGCCACAGCAGGUGAUAGCCCUGUAUCUGAAAGCACUGGUGUUGUGAGUCCGAUGAGUAAGGCGGGACACGUGUUAUCCUGUCUGAAUACGGGGGGACCAUCCUCCAAGGCUAAAUACUCCUGACUGACCGAUAGUGAACCAGUACCGUGAGGGAAAGGCGAAAAGAACCCCGGCGAGGGGAGUGAAAAAGAACCUGAAACCGUGUACGUACAAGCAGUGGGAGCACCUUUAUGGUGUGACUGCGUACCUUUUGUAUAAUGGGUCAGCGACUUAUAUUCUGUAGCAAGGUUAACCGGAUAGGGGAGCCGCAGGGAAACCGAGUCUUAACUGGGCGAAUUAGUUGCAGGGUAUAGACCCGAAACCCGGUGAUCUAGCCAUGGGCAGGUUGAAGGUUGGGUAACACUAACUGGAGGACCGAACCGACUAAUGUUGAAAAAUUAGCGGAUGACUUGUGGCUGGGGGUGAAAGGCCAAUCAAACCGGGAGAUAGCUGGUUCUCCCCGAAAGCUAUUUAGGUAGCGCCUCGUGAAUUCAUCUCCGGGGGUAGAGCACUGUUUCGGCUAGGGGGUCAUCCCGACUUACCAACCCGAUGCAAACUGCGAAUACCGGAGAAUGUUAUCACGGGAGACACACGGCGGGUGCUAACGUUCGUCGUGAAGAGGGAAACAACCCAGACCGCCGGCUAAGGUCCCAAAGUCAUAAUUAGUGGGAAACGAAGUGGGAAGGCUCAGACAGCCAGGAUGUUGGCUUAGAAGCAGCCAUCAUUUAAAGAAAGCGUAAUAGCUCACUGGUCGAGUCGGCCUGCGCGGAAGAUGUAACGGGGCUAAAUUAUGCACCGAAGCCGCGGCAGCGAUAUGUAAAUAUUGUUGGGUAGGGGAGCGUUCUGUAAGCCUGUGAAGGUGGCCUGUGAGGGCUGCUGGAGGUAUCAGAAGUGCGAAUGCUGACAUAAGUAACGAUAAUGCGGGUGAAAAACCCGCACGCCGGAAGACCAAGGGUUCCUGUCCAACGUUAAUCGGGGCAGGGUGAGUCGACCCCUAAGGCGAGGCUGAAAAGCGUAGUCGAUGGGCAACGGGUUAAUAUUCCCGUACUGGUGGUAACUGCGAAGGGGACGGAGAAAGCUAAAUCAUCCGGGCGACGGUUGUCCCGGUUUAAGCGUGCAGGUGGACUGACCAGGCAAAUCCGGUCGGUUGUUAACACUGAGGCGUGACGACGAGCCACUACGGUGGUGAAGUGAUUGAUGCUCUGCUUCCGGGAAAAGCCUCUAAGCUCCAGGUUACCAUUAAUCGUACCCCAAACCGACACAGGUGGUCAGGUAGAGAAUACUCAGGCGCUUGAGAGAACUCGGGUGAAGGAACUAGGCAAAAUGGUGCCGUAACUUCGGGAGAAGGCACGCUGGCAUUAGGUGAAGUGGUUUACCCAUGGAGCUGAAGCCAGCCGCAGAUACCAGCUGGCUGCAACUGUUUAUUAAAAACACAGCACUGUGCAAACACGAAAGUGGACGUAUACGGUGUGACGCCUGCCCGGUGCCGGAAGGUUAAUUGAUGAGGUCAGCCGCAAGGCGAAGCUUCUGAUCGAAGCCCGGUAAACGGCCGCCGUAACUAUAACGGUCCUAAGGUAGCGAAAUUCCUUGUCGGGUAAGUUCCGACCUGCACGAAUGGCGUAAUGAUGGCCAGGCUGUCUCCACCCGAGACUCAGUGAAAUUGAACUCGCUGUGAAGAUGCAGUGUACCCGCGGCAAGACGGAAAGACCCCGUGAACCUUUACUAUAGCUUGACACUGAACAUUGAGCCUUGAUGUGUAGGAUAGGUGAGGCAAUGAAGUGUGGACGCCAGUCUGCACGGAGCCAUCCUUGAAAUACCACCCUUUAACGUUUGAUGUUCUAACCCGGGUCCAUAAUCUGGAUCGGGGACCGUGUCUGGUGGGUAGUUUGACUGGGGCGGUCUCCUCCCAAAGAGUAACGGAGGAGCACGAAGGUUGGCUAAGCAUGGUCGGACAUCAUGCGGUUAGUGCAAGGCAUAAGCCAGCUUGACUGCGAGAGUGACGGCUCGAGCAGGUACGAAAGUAGGUCUUAGUGAUCCGGUGGUUCUGAAUGGAAGGGCCAUCGCUCAACGGAUAAAAGGUACUCGGGGAUAACAGGCUGAUACCGCCCAAGAGUUCAUAUCGACGGCGGUGUUUGGCACCUCGAUGUCGGCUCAUCACAUCCUGGGGCUGAAGUAGGUCCCAAGGGUAUGGCUGUUCGCCAUUUAAAGUGGUACGCGAGCUGGGUUUAGAACGUCGUGAGACAGUUCGGUCCCUAUCUGCCGUGGGCGCUGGAAGAUUGAGAGGGGUUGCUCCUAGUACGAGAGGACCGGAGUGAACGCACCACUGGUGUACGGGUUGUGAUGCCAAUUGCAUUGCCCGGUAGCUAAGUGCGGAAGAGAUAACCGCUGAAAGCAUCUAAGCGGGAAACUUGCCUCGAGAUGAGUCUUCCCUGACCCUUUAAGGGUCCUGAAGGAACGUUUGAGACUAAGACGUUGAUAGGCUGGGUGUGUAAGCGCAGCGAUGCGUUGAGCUGACCAGUACUAAUGAACCGUGAGGCUUAACCUG
rnacentral:rRNA from 1 species